GACAGAGGGUGCAAACGUUGUUCGGAAUUACUGGCGUAAGCGUGACGCAGGCGGUUAUGUAAGACAGAUGUGAGAUCCCCGGGCUCAACCUGGGAACUGCAUUUGUGACUGCAUAGCUAGAGUACGGUAGAGGGGGAUGGAAUUCCGCGUGUAGCAGUGAAAUGCGUAGAUAUGCGGAGGAACACCGAUGGCGAAGGCAAUCCCCUGGACCUGUACUGACGCUCAUGCACGAAAGCGUGGGAGCAACAGG
rnacentral:rRNA from 1 species